AUUGAACGCUGGCGGCAGGCCUAACACAUGCAAGUCGAACGAGUGGCGGACGGGUGAGUAAUGUCUGGGAAACUGCCUGAUGGAGGGGGAUAACUACUGGAAACGGUAGCUAAUACCGCAUACCAUCAGAUGUGCCCAGAUGGGAUUAGCUAGUAGGUGGGGUAAAGGCUCACCUAGGCGACGAUCCCUAGCUGGUCUGAGAGGAUGACCAGCCACCCUGGAAUGGAGACACGGCCCAGACUCCGACGGGAGGCAGAAGUGGGGAAUAUUGCACAAUGGGCGCAAGCCUGAUGCACCCAUGCCGCGUGUAUGAAGAAGGCCUUCGGGUUGUAAAGUACUUUCAGCGGGGAGGCGUUACCCGCAGAAGAAGCACCGGCUAACUCCGUGCCAGCAGCCGCGGUAAUUC
rnacentral:rRNA from 1 species